CCGACGCACAUGACCGCGCGCCCAACGGGAAGCCCCGCGAGCUGCUCGGCGCGCGAACCCGCGUCCGAAGUCCUGCACGUCCAUGCUGCACUUCGAGGCUCGAGCGCCGAGCGGCGCCUGACUGACGGAAAUGGGUCAGUGGAACUCCUGACAGACAGAGAGCAACGGCGGACGACGACGGCAGCAGCCAACGCUAACCCCCCACACCGUGUUCUGCCUCAAAAGGAGGUAUUCUGACCAAGUAGAUGGAAAAGCACAGAGAUUUGCCAAACCGAAUGCCAUAAGUCUAGAGGUACAAGGGAGACAUGAAACAGUUGCGGAUGUGCAUGAAGGAGCGCGAUACCUUUGAGGUGAAGCUUGACAUGGUCCUUGUAGGCCUGUCAUCGGAAAGGCAACUGUACUUCAAUGCACCGAGAAAACAGGUGAGCGAGACCUCGACUUGAAUGUAAUCGCAUUUGUGCGCAAUCCACCCUCCGUCUC
rnacentral:lncRNA from 1 species